UACGUAGGGUGCGAGCGUUGAUCGGAAUUACUGGGCGUAAAGCGUGCGCAGGCGGCUUUUUAAGCCAGGUGUGAAAUCCCCGGGCUCAACCUGGGAAUGGCAUUUGGGACUGCAAGGCUGGAGUGUGGCAGAGGAGACUGGAAUUCCUGGUGUAGCAGUGAAAUGCGUAGAUAUCAGGAGGAAUACCGAUGGCGAAGGCAGGUCUCUGGGCUGACACUGACGCUCAUGCACGAAAGCGUGGGGAGCAAACAGG
rnacentral:rRNA from 1 species